rnacentral:rRNA from 1 species
UACGUAGGGUGCGAGCGUUAAUCGGAAUUACUGGGCGUAAAGUGUGCGCAGGCGGCAGAGCAAGUCGAGUGUGAAAGCCCCGGGCUUAACUUGGGAAUUGCGCUCGAAACUACUUUGCUGGAGUGUGGCAGAGGAAGGUGGAAUUCCACGUGUAGCGGUGAAAUGCGUAGAGAUGUGGAGGAACACCAAUGGCGAAGGCAGCCUUCUGGGCCAACACUGACCGCUCAUGCACGAAAGCGUGGGGAGCAAACAGGA